GACAGAGGGGGCAAGCGUUGCUCGGAAUUACUGGGCGUAAAGGGCGCGUAGGCGGCCUUGCAAGUGGCGGGUGAAAUCCCUCGGCUUAACCGAGGAACUGCCUGCCAGACUGCAAGGCUCGAGACCGGGAGAGGUGAGUGGAAUUCCCAGUGUAGCGGUGAAAUGCGUAGAUAUUGGGAGGAACACCAGUGGCGAAGGCGGCUCACUGGACCGGAACUGACGCUGAGGCGCGAAAGCGUGGGGAGCAAACAGG
rnacentral:rRNA from 1 species